UUAGACUCGAUUAAGACUGCUAACCAGAAGGACUCAAUUUAUAUGAAGAAAAAUAGGUUGGUUGACAUCUAGCUCCUCGUGCAAGAUUACAUGCCUUUUUUUUCAAGUACUGGGUACAUGAGUAAUCGUGAAAGUUGUGAAAAUUUCCUUUGUCCGUCAAUUAUUUUUUUUUUUUUUGACAGCAAGAACAUUUACAGACUCACAUAGACUCCGUAAACCAUAGUGGCAACUCUGCAUCCAUGUGUAUGACGAACGACGGUUGUAUCCGAGCACUGCGUGCCAAGCGAUCCGCCAUUUUAUUGUCCGUCCUCGAAACAUGAACAAUUUCUGAGUUGGUGAAGCUUCUUCUCAAAAGCUUGAUAUCCUCCAGGUAACUUCCAAAUGCUGGUCAUUCCUCUGGUUCUAAAACCAUCUUCACCAGUUGAGAACAAUCCGUUGCAAACGUGACCUGAUAUUGUCUUAAGUUUUUCAUACAUUCCAUUGCCCAAGUCAAUGCCUCUAUCUCCGCAUGAAGAGGUGAUAAACUUGCCCUCACAUUCCUUGCCCCUAAC
rnacentral:lncRNA from 1 species